AUUAGACCCGAUCCCAACUUAAUCUUUCUUUAUUAUCAGGAUAUGUACCACAGUCCUUUAAAGUAGCUGUAAUUAAACCCCUUCUUAAAAAGUCCACUCUUGACCCAGGGGUUUUAGCCAACUAUAGACCGAUUUCUAACCUCCCCUUCCUCUCUAAGAUUCUGGAGAAAGUAGUCGCCAAAGAGUUGUGUGACUUUCUACAUAACAAUAGUUUAUUUGAGGAUUUUCAGUCAGGAUUUAGAGUUCAUCAUAGCACAGAGACAGCUCUGGUUAAAGUUAAUAAUGACCUUCUGACUGCUUCUGACAAUGGACUUGUCUCUGUACUUGUAUUAUUAGAUCUUAGUGCUGCAUUUGACACCAUUGACCAUAAUAUUCUUUUACAGAGACUUGAGCAUCAAAUUGGCAUUAAAGGAACCGCACUAAGCUGGUUUAAGUCAUAUUUAUCAGAUCGCUCGCAGUUUGUACAUGUUAACGAUGAAUCUUCAAUAAAUACUACAGUUAGUCAUGGAGUUCCACAAGGUUCUGUACUUGGACCAAUACUAUUUACUUAAUAUAUGCUCCCUUUAGGCAACAUUAUUAGGAAUCACUCCAUUAACUUUCACUGUUAUGCAGAUGAUACGCAGUUAUAUCUAUCAAUCAAGCCCAAUGAAAUUAAUCAAUUAUCUAAAUUACAAACAUGUCUUAAGGACAUAAAAUCCUCGAUGAUCUGCAAUUUUCUGAUGUUAAACUCAGAAAAAAACGAAAUUCUUGUUCUUGGCCCCAAAAACCUUAGAGACUCAUUGUCUAAAGAUAUAGUUACUCUAGAUGGCAUUAACUUGGCCUCUAGCACCACUGUCAGGAAUCUUGGAGUUAUCUUUGAUCAGGAUUUGUCAUUUAACUCCCACAUAAAGCAGACCUCUAGGACCGCCUUCUUUCAUUUACGUAAUAUUAGAAAAAUUAGACACAUACUAUCACAGACAGAUGCAGAAAAACUAAUCCAUGCAUUUGUUACUUCAAGGCUGGAUUACUGCAACUCUUUAUUAUCAGGUUGCCCCAAUAAGUCCAUUAAAACGCUCCAAUUAAUUCAGAACGCUGCAGCACGAGUACUGACAGGAACUAGAAAAAGAGAUCACAUCUCUCCUGUACUAGCUUCUCUGCAUUGGCUCCCUGUAAAAUGUAGAAUUGAAUUUAAAAUCCUCCUCCUCACCAAUAAAGCUCUUCAUGGUCAGGCCCCUUCGUAUCUUAAAGAGCUCAUAGUACCCUAUUACCCCUCUAGAACACUACGUUCUCUGAAUGCUGGGCUACUUGUGGUUCCUAUAGUCUCUAAAAGUAGAACAGGAGCCAGAGCCUUCAGUUACCAAGCUCCUCUCCUGUGGAACCAGCUUCCAGUUGUGGUUCGGGAGGCAGACACCCUCACCACAUUCAAGAGUAGGCUUAAGACAUUCCUCUUUGAUAAAGCUUAUAGUUAGGGCUGGAUCAGGUGAGUCCUGAACCAUCCCUUAGUUAUGCUGCUAUAGGCCUAGACUAUCGGGGGAUUUCCCAUGGUGCACUGAGCUACUCUCUUCCUCUCUCUUUCUGCACUCAUUCAUGUCCCAUUAAUGCAUGUUACUAACUCCACUUCUUCCCCGGAGUUCUUGUGCUUUCUCGUCUCGCAGGUUCUCAUGGAUCCUGGUGGAGCCUCCUGCCAUGGUCCUGCUUGACUGCCAUUGCCAAUACUGUUGUUGCUGUGCACCUGUCUGUCUGUCUGUCUCUCGCUCUCUCUCUCUCUGCCUCUCUCUCUCUCUCUCUCACCCCAACUGGUCGAGACAGACGACCACCCACCUAGAGCCGGAGGAUCUGUCCUAGGUUUCUGCCUUUUAACAGGCAGUGUUUCCUUGCCCUUGUCGCCAAGUGCUUGCUCAUGGUGGUACUGUUGGGUCUCUGUAAUUAAUGUUAAAGAGUUCGGUCUAGACCUGCUCUAUUUGAAAAGUGUCCUGAGAUAACUUCUGUUAUGAAUUGGCGCUAUACAAAUAAAAUUGAAUUGAAUUGAA